UGUGGCUCAGGGUAGGGCACUUGCCUACCAUGCAGAAGACCCUGGGUUCAAUCCCCAGCA
rnacentral:tRNA from 1 species